CCAGACAACAUUCAGCAAGGACCUGAAGUCUGCCAACAGUUACAUGAGUGAGCCCGGAAGUGGAUCCUUCCCUAGUUGAGCCUUGAGAUGACCACAGCCCAGGAAAAGAAAGAAAUAAAAGCGAGACAAUUUCUGCAUCACUCCCUAGAACCACGGAAAUGAUUUUAAUUACCAAUUCAUCUGUUGGCAGACUCUUCUGGCAGAUGUACCUGCAACUUGGAAAGAUAACAAAUGAACCAAUUCCUUACUCCAGAGUUGACACUGAUAGUGCUUACUGAAUUUGCUCUCAGAAAAGAAUCCUGGGCAACAAUACAUCUGGCACUCUGCUCGAGGAAUUUGUCAUGUCAUUGACAUGUUCAGCCUCCAUUGUCCACACCACCCCGACAGCAGGUCCUUUAUAUUUCAAAGAAAUUGCAGCCUGAAUUAAUAUAAUUAGAAUGUAACUGCUAUUCACUGCAGAAACUCCUUAUUUCCAGGAGUGAAGAUCUGAUAGCAUGUCUGUACUUAAAAUCUUUCCCAUGAUGGUUGGAGGGGAGCAAGCAGAUAAUAAAAUGACAGAAUAUAUGCUAUUUCACAGACUUUUUGAAGUAUUAGCUAAUGGAAAUAUAGGGGGAGAAGAAAACUGUUCUACCCUUGGCAUGUAUAAAUAGAAACAUCUUUUAAGUUUACUUGCCUUUAUAGUACUUCCAUAAAAUAUGUUCUAAAGAGUAUCUAAACUCAGAGAAAUAAAUUAAAUCAGAAAGAUUACAUAUCUCCAAAAAGUAUGCAAUGAAGCAUGAAGUAGAGUGGCUAAUUCAUAGACAGAAUUACAGAUUUCAGAGAUGGUUGAAUAACUUCAGUCAUUUUUCCCUGCUUCCCUUUGAACAGUUGAUGUCACCAACUAAGCAACUGUCACCAAGUUAAUAACUUGGAUGCUGGAUUUUUGAAUUUUAUUCUUUGUUAGCAUUCUGUUUCUACAAAUACUUGAUUAUUGAUAUAGUGGAAACUGACAUUGGCAUCUUUCUUUUGAAAAUAAGAUUGAUUCACAUUCUUUCAAAUAAGUUAACAUUCUCACUGGGAAUGAUUCAUUUGAGGGAGAACAAUGGCCUGGCAUAUCAAUGUAUAGGCUGGUGCUUAUGGCCUCUUCUCUGAAGAAUAUAAUGUUUAUCCUUGUACAUGUUAUAGACUGUAUCCUUCUGAAAUGUAUAUGUUGAAGCCCUAAUUCCCAGGGUAAUGGUAUUUGGAUAUGCAGCCUUUAGGUAAUUAGAUUUAGGAGUCUUGAGGGUGGAGCUCUCAUGAUGGAAUUAGUGUCCUUGUAAGAAGAGGAAACAAAGAUCAGAGUGCUUGCUCUCUCUUUCUCUUUCUCUCUCUCUCUCUCUCUCUCUCUCCCCCCCUCCCCUCUGAGCCCUGCCUCCAGACCUCCGACUAUGUGAAGAUACAGUGGGAAGAUGACUGUCCACAAGACAGGAAGAGAGCCCUCACUGAGAAACCAAAUUGGCCAGUAUCUUGAUCUUGGAUUUCUCAGCCUCAAGAACCCUGAGGAAUAAAUGUCUGUUGUUCAAGCCA
rnacentral:lncRNA from 1 species